rnacentral:rRNA from 1 species
UACGUAGGUGGCAAGCGUUGUCCGGAUUUAUUGGGUUUAAAGGGUGCGUAGGCGGCUUGAUAAGUCAGUGGUGAAAUCUCUCGGCUUAACCGAGAAAUUGCCAUUGAUACUGUAGGGCUUGAGUAUAGUUGCCGUUGGCGGAAUAUGACAUGUAGUGGUGAAAUGUCAUAGAGAUGUCAUAGAACACCGAUUGCGAAGGCAGCUGACGAAACUAUAACUGACACUGAGGCUCGAAAGUGCGGGGAUCAAACAGG